rnacentral:rRNA from 1 species
GAUGAACGCUGGCGGCGUGCCUAACACAUGCAAGUCGAGCGAUCUUCUUCGGUAGAGAGCGGCGGACGGGUGAGUAACGCGUGGGUAACCUGCCCUGUACACACGGAUAACAUACCGAAAGGUAUGCUAAUACGAGAUAAUAUGCUUUUAUCGCAUGGUAGAAGUAUCAAAGCUCCGGCGGUACAGGAGGGACCCGCGUCUGAUUAGCUAGGUGGUAAGGUAAUGGCUUACCAAGGCGACGAUCAGUAGCCGACCUGAGAGGGUGAUCGGCCACGUGGGGACUGAGACACGGUCCAAACUCCUACGGGAGGCAGCGGUGGGGAAUAGUGCACAAUGGGCGAAAGCCUGAUGCAGCAACGCCGCGUGAGCGAUGAAGGCCUUCGGGUCGUAAAGCUCUGUCCUCAAGGAAGAUAAUGACGGUACUUGAGGAGGAAGCCCCGGCUAACUACGUGCCAGCCGCCGCCGUAA